GUUGAACGCUGGCGGAAUGCUUUACACAUGCAAGUCGAACGGCAGCACGGACUUCGGUCUGGUGGCGAGUGGCGAACGGGUGAGUAAUGUAUCGGAACGUGCCCAGUCGUGGGGGAUAACGUAGUGAAAAUUACGCUAAUACCGCAUACGAUCUAUGGAGGAAAGCGGGGGAUCGCAAGACCUCGCGCGAUUGGAGCGGCCGAUAUCAGAUUAGGUAAUUGGUGGGGUAAAGGCCCACCAAGCCAACGAUCUGUAGCUGGUCUGAGAGGACGACCAGCCACACUGGAACUGAGACACGGUCCAGACUCCUACGGGAGGCAGCAGUGGGGAAUUUUGGACAAUGGGCGAAAGCCUGAUCCAGCCAUUCCGCGUGCAGGAUGAAGGCCCUCGGGUUGUAAACUGCUUUUGUACAGAACGAAAAGGUUUCUACUAAUACUAGGAGCUCAUGACGGUACUGUAAGAAUAAGCACCGGCUAACUACGUGCCAGCAGCCGCGGUAA
rnacentral:rRNA from 1 species